CACGUAGGGCGCGAGCGUUGUCCGGAAUUAUUGGGCGUAAAGAGCUCGUAGGCGGCUUGGUAAGUCGGAUGUGAAACCUCCAGGCUCAACCUGGAGUCGCCAUCCGAUACUGCUAUGGCUAGAGUCCGGUAGGGGCCCACGGAAUUCCUGGUGUAGCGGUGAAAUGCGCAGAUAUCAGGAGGAACACCGAUGGCGAAGGCAGUGGGCCUGGGCCGGCACUGACGCUGGAGGAGCGAAAGCGUGGGGAGCGAACAGG
rnacentral:rRNA from 1 species